rnacentral:lncRNA from 1 species
GUCUACCCAAGACUGUCAUGUCUUACAAAGGAACCAGCAACAAGCACCUACAAAAGUCCUGGAAUUUUCCUGUAAAAGCUAUACCUGGGGCUGGAAUCAUCAGCAAUUAUUCAUCAAUAAGGAAGAAGAGAUAGUGACAUUUGAAUUAAGACCAGAAGGAAGUGAGAAAAUGAAUAAUGCAAACAUUUGGGGAAAGAGCACUCUAGGCAGAGGAGGCAACUGCAAAGGCCACUGUUGUGGGUAUAAUUGUGUUCUCCUGAAAGGUUAUCACACUUUUUAUUGCUGCAUCGUUUCAACCUCAUGCUUAAGCAAUCCUAAAGGGCAAGAAAAUGAACCCACUAAACAUUUAUGCUUCAAAAUCACCAUAUGAGAUGGAAACUACUCUCCUUGCCUUAGAAAGGAAAGAACUAAGGCUCAGACAAGAUCAUAUGGUUAAUAAAUAGGAAGACGAAGAAUGGAACCAGGUUGUUGGCCUCCAAAUCUGGUGUCUCACUGUUGUACUUCAACUGACUCACAGUUUCUUCAAGCCUUUGUUAUUCUACAAAAAUACAG